GCGGAGGGACACCGGUCUCAGUGGGACGUGAGAGAAGAUCCACAACCGUUGGACAGAAACGGGAAGAGGGACAGCUGGAGAGACAACUGUCCCCCUCAUCACGUCGAGCCGGUUGUAGUAGCUAGUAUCAGCGAGGAGAAAGGAGGAGGAGGAGGAGGGACAGAAGCGCGGCUGGGCACAAAGAGCGGCGAGCAUCCAGAGAGAGGAGGCUGGCGGACGGGACGGAGAGCGGAGCGGAGCGCUGAGGACAACAACGGGGGACUCCAACCGAGAGGCAUCCUUGACUUAUUUCCUGAUCCACACGGGCUCCAUGAGGGUGACUUACUGACGGAACCCCCCCAACACCGUUUAUCAACCCAUAAAAUCAGCAACAGCUGCUCCCCUCCAGAAAUACCUGCUCCUGAUCUGCUCACCGGACCCCCACCGCCCCCCCACCACCACCGCCCCCCCACCCCCCAACCCUCAGGCCCAGCAGCCAUCACCUCCACUUUGUACCGAUGAAGGAGGCCGACGCCAUCAAGUUGUUCGUGGGGCAGAUUCCUCGGAAUCUGGAGGAGAAGGACCUCAAGCCCAUUUUUGAGCAGUUUGGCAAGAUCUACGAGCUGACCGUGAUUAAGGAUAAAUACACCGGGAUGCACAAAGGAUGCGCGUUUCUGACGUACUGCGCACGAGAGUCGGCCCUGAAAGCCCAGAGCGCUCUCCACGAGCAGAAAACACUACCAGGGAUGAAUCGCCCGAUCCAGGUUAAACCGGCUGACAGCGAGGGCCGAGGAGAGGACAGGAAGUUGUUUGUGGGCAUGCUGGGAAAGCAGCAGAGCGAUGAGGAUGUCAGAAGGCUGUUUGAGCCCUUUGGCAGCAUAGAGGAGUGCACAGUUUUGAGAGGACCAGACGGCACAAGCAAAGGGUGUGCUUUUGUCAAAUUUCAGGGACAUGCCGAAGCCCAAGCCGCAAUCAGCAGCUUGCACGGGAGCCGCACAAUGCCUGGAGCGUCGUCCAGUCUGGUGGUGAAGUUUGCUGACACGGAGAAGGAGCGGGGGCUGAGGAGGAUGCAGCAGGUGGCCUCCCAGCUCGGCAUCUUCAGCCCCAUGACCCUCAACUUUCCUGCCUACAAUGCAUACACGCAGGCGGUCAACGCACAGCUUGUCCAACAGCAGGCCCUGGUCGCCCAGUCAGCGUACUUGUCUCCUGUCGCAACAGUCGCUGCAGUACAGAUGCAGCAGAUGGCGGCACUCAAUGCCAACGGAAUCAUCGCAACACCCAUUACACCCAUCACACCGUCCUCGGGUACAAACACUCCCCCCACUAUUGCAGCGACACCUGUGUCAGCUAUCCCCCCACCGAUAGGAGUGAACGGUUACAGUAGCGUGCCGGGUCCCACCAAUGGACAGCAAACGGAGACACUGUACACCAACGGAGUUCACACAUACCAAGGUAGUUUGAUUAAAAUCAGAGAAGCGCACGUGUGGAUCUUCAUGUCGGUUCGAUUUUUGAUACCCACCGCUUUUAUUCCUUUCAUUCCAGCCCAGAGUCCAGCUGCAGCUUUGGAUCCUCUUCAGCAAGCCUACGCAGGCAUGCAGCACUACACAGCGGCGUACCCUGCUGCCUACGGAUUGGUCGGGCAGCCGUUUCCCCAGCAGCCGACACUGGUUGCUCAGCAACACCAGCAGCCCCAGCAACAGCAGCAAAGAGAAGGUCCAGAGGGGUGUAACAUCUUCAUCUACCACCUGCCUCAGGAGUUCAGCGACUCUGAGAUGCUGCAGAUGUUCCUGCCCUUUGGCAAUGUCAUAUCGGCUAAAGUGUUUGUGGACCGAGCCACCAACCAGAGCAAAUGUUUCGGAUUUGUGAGUUUUGACAACCCUGCCAGCGCUCAAGCCGCUAUCCAGGCGAUGAAUGGCUUUCAGAUUGGCAUGAAAAGACUCAAAGUGCAGCUCAAAAGGCCCAAAGAUGCCAACCGCCCGUACUGAGUGACAACGCAGAGAGGGAAGAACAAAUACGUAGAGAUCCUCCCGUCCAAUCAUAAUUCGCGAGGACCCCAUCGCUAUGGCAAUGGUUGCCUAGUGACCGAUAAAGCCCUGAUCCCCCCUUCCUCUCGCAUUGUUGUGACCUCUAAGAGUCCAACUGAAGGUGAAGUCCCAGGGUUCAUUGUGCUUUCAGACUGUCUUCUACCUGUGAACGUCUGCGGAGUGCUG